rnacentral:misc_RNA from 1 species
AUGAUUUUUUUUUCUCUAAUUGUGAUUUGAUUUGAUUUUCGUUUUCUACUUUAUUGAUUUCAAUUAUUUUUUUCGAUUUUUGGUUUUGAGAAAGCCCAAUGAUGGAAAAUCUAUGUAUAUUGAGCGGCUGUGAUGGUUAUAGAUUCAUCCGUUGCCUUUAUGCAUCACCUGAAUAUCAGCGGCAACCGCCAUUCUUUCUCCCUUUCCUUGUCUCCUUCAACAUCACACACUAAAGCACACUUGCACUUUUGCCGCUGAUGUUUAUGGUGAUGUAUGAAAG